GACAGCAUGGUGUAGUGGUUUGAGUGUCAGACUGCCACUCAGAAGACCAGGGUUCGAUUCAGAACUCAGUCA